UGCGGUGUUAGAAAGAAAAUUUUUUGAGAAGGGGCUAUAUUGUUGUGAUUUGUUUAAACCAAAAACAGUUUUGAAGAUAUAUGAUGUUCCCAUCUAUCCGUUGUCACAUAAAGAUGACUGGAUAAUUCCAGAAAGCGUACUUGGUGAAAUAGUAGUGCCUCCAAAAUUCAAAAGACCUCCAGGAAGACCUGCAAAGAAGGAUCGUGGAAAAUCAGACCGGGAUAUGUUUGGAAAGAAAAACAUCAACUCAUGCGGUGGUUGUGGGGCUAAGGGUCACAAUAGGCGUUCUUGUAGGAAAUAUCGCUAAUGAUACAUUUCUUCUUCCAUAUUAUUGCUUAAAACUUUAUUUUUAAUUUUUAUAAUAAUGAACUAUUUUUUUAGUUAAUACAUUUAUGCAUCAUUUGAUAACUGAACACAGUAAGAUAGAUUUUUGCCCUUAUGAAGGAACAAAGAAUGUCUGGAUUGAAGUUCUUUAAUUGGCUUCAGAACUCGCAUCCUGAAUUUCACCGCAGUGGUUAUGUCAAUAGUCUGAUUAUUUGUAAUUGUGGAUGGUUAGAUGACUAUAAAACAAUGUUCUCUUUGUUGGAGGACUUUAACGCUGAACAAACUUGUUUAACUGACAAGGCUUUUGGGUUCUUAACUGUACUUGGAUCAAGUAAGGAUUCACUGGUGAAUUCGACAAAGAAAGUGGUUGCUAUGCUAAAUGAGGUUGGAGGAUCCUGCCGUGGUUCUGGUAUUUACGGAUUAAUCGAGAUGUUUUGUUGUUGGACUUGUUCGAAAUGGCAAAAUUUGUAAUAGAGAUCACUGAAAGAACAACUUCUCACUACAAUAUUUUGAUCCGUAAAAGGUGUCGGGCAGGCCAAAUAGAAAAAGCACGGGUUAUUAUCAAAGAGAUGUCUGAAUUUGGUUGUUCUCCUAACACUAAGUCAUAUAACUAUCUGCUUGGCUCAUUGUGCAAGAAUGAUAAGCUGGAGUAUGUGCGUAUUGUGCUUGAAGAAAUGAGAAAUAAAGGUGUUGAUCCAGAUGCAAUUACUUUUGAAACUUUAGUGUAUCAUUCAUCUAGUCGCGGUCAAGUUGACCUUGCCUCUGAAUUUUUGAAUUUGAUGGUAAAUGUAAAUGUGGAACCACGUUCUACUACUCAUGCUGCAUUUCUUAAAGUUUUACUUGAAGCAGGAGAACGUGAGAAAGCAUAUAAGUAUGUGAUUGGCAUGAGUGCCAAGUAUAACCACUGUGGAAAUACACUAUACAGCUUGCUUGUGAGGCUUAAUCAGAAGAAAAGAGACAUUAUGGCUGCUCAAAGCCUUCUCAAUGAAAUGAUUGACAAGGGUCUCAAGCCGGACUUUGGAAUUUUUAUCAAAAUUGUAAAGCAGCUCGAGAAGACUAGCAGGAAAACUUUAGCUCGAGAUCUUAGGACGAAAUACUCAGUUUUCUAUUGUAGUACAAAAGCUAUCAAUUCUUUAUCCAAUUCUUUUGUCCCAUGCCAAGGUUGAGUGGAUCUCUCUAGAUGGGCUGUCUGUGGAAGAAAGAUUAGGAGUGUGCAUUAUUUGCUUUUAACCAAAAAGGUGACUGAAGAUUAUUUUCAGUUGUAAGUUCCCAUUUUUCGUUCAUUUUCAGUUUGGAGGAUAUACAUACACACAUAUAUAUAAAUACAUGUAUAAUGUUAAUGAUAGGUUUGAACUGCUCUCUGUUUCACUCUUUGCUCUGGAACUCGUACAAUGCCUCGUAGUCAUUAACCAAAUCUUCUACUCUUUUCUGAACAAAUAGAAUUGGUCAGUGUAGACUAGUUGGUUUGGCCACCUGAACUGCCACCUUAUUUGCAUGCUUUCCUUUUGAUUUCUGAUUCUUCUCAAUGAUUAUGAGCAAAUGUGUUUUAACUUUUUUUCUACAUCAGUUCCAGUUUCACGUUGUCUCUUGUUUUUACCACUGGGUUGAGCAAAUCUUGGGGGAAUAUUUACAUACUGCACCUGUGGUUGCUGGGACAGGAAGCCAUGGUUAAUUGAAUAAAUAGAGGUUACACCUCCUUUGAAAGUGGAGUUUCACCUGAAGAUUAUGUUCGGCUCCUUCUGUCGCACUAUUAUUUACUUCUGGAAAGCAAAGGUACAGAACAGUCCUUUUGCAGGCUAUGUCUCUAAUUGUUGUUAAGGAUAUGUACUUUAACUCCUUAUUCUUUUACAUAGCAGUAUAGAGACUGCUUUUCUAAACCGUUAAGCGGCUGAAUAAUCAAAUAAUAAUGGGCAACUUUGAUUCUCCAUGCUCUAUUACCUAUCAGAUAUUCCGAGGUUUUCAAAAACUUGAUAUCAAAAUUGUCCCUGAUUUUGUCCCGGGUUUUGCUAGAGUCCUGCUUCUUGUCUGCACACUGUUAUAGCUGUGACAUCUGUGAAUAUGUGAUGAAAAGAUCCUUCAAAACUUUGCAAUAAGAAAAUCCACGAACUAUACAAUUUCUAAGUAAAGAGAGAAGUUGUAAAGAAAUUUAACUGUUAUUUAUAGCAGAAGUGUAAAG
rnacentral:lncRNA from 1 species